rnacentral:lncRNA from 1 species
CCUCCUCUGCCAAUCUCUCUCUUUCUCUCUCUCUCCCUCUCUCUCUCUCUCGUUUUUUCACUUUCCAUGUUCUGUAUUUUUUUUCUGUCAAAUUCCCCAAAUAUGAAGAAGAGAGGCAGCAGCUCCUAAUGUGUAUUUAGGUUUCAUUUAUCUGAUGUCAAACUCACUGUUUGCAUAAACCAGCAAACAACCCAUUGUUUGCAUAAACCAGGAAAUUGAUCAUUACAUUACAUCAUGAUGACAUCAUGCCAUGUGACCAGCCAAUUGUUUGCAUAAACCAUCAAAUAGAAUAAAACCAGAAAAAUAGAGUAGAAAAAAUGGGAGAGAAGACAGUUUUGAGUUUAUGAAUGCUUCAAUACAAUACUACAUGUUUCUUACAUAUUUAAGCAUAAUACAUAGCAAAACACAGCUUAUACUUUGCUGAGAUGAUAAGAUAUGUUGUUCACACCAAAAUGGUCCUUAAAAGAGUAUGACCUUGAUAUUGAGAUCCACUAAUGGCAAAGGAUGGAAAUUAAAUAUUGUUUGGUACAUUAUAGCAUAAGUUACAAAACAGAUAGAGGAGUUAGAGUUGAAGGAUAGCUAGAGAGAGAUCUAGAGCAUAUAAUAGUACUUACUUUGGUAGAAUUUCUUCCGAUUGCUGGAUGUUGACGGAGCAUGCAGGGUAGUUUUAACACCAAU